rnacentral:rRNA from 1 species
UCGGCCAAUUCCUCGACCGCCUCCACUCUUAGGAGCGGGGGCUCGUUGGUAAAAGAACCCACGGCGCCGAAGGCGUCAAGGAACACUGUGCCUAACCCGGGGAGAUGGCUAGCUUGCUGGUCGUCACCUGUGUUGCAAAUAUAUUUAAUCCACACGACUCUCGGCAACGGAUAUCUCGGCUCUCGCAUCGAUGAAGAACGUAGCGAAAUGCGAUACCUGGUGUGAAUUGCAGAAUCCCGCGAACCAUCGAGUCUUUGAACGCAAGUUGCGCCCGAGGCCACUCGGCCGAGGGCACGCCUGCCUGGGCGUCACGCCAAAACACGCUCCCAACCACCCUCUUCGGGAAUUGGGAUGCGGCAUAUGGUCCCUCGUCCUGCAAGGGGCGGUGGGCCGAAGAUUGGGCUGCCGGCGUACCGCGUCGGACACAGCGCAUGGUGGGCGUCCUUGCUUUAUCAAUGCAGUGCAUCCGACGCGUAGACGGCAUCAUGGCCUCGAAACGACCCAUCGAACGAAGUGCACGUCGCUUCGACCGCGACCCCAGGUCAGGCGGGACUACCCGCUGAG